rnacentral:rRNA from 1 species
AGAACGAACGCUGGCGGCAUGCCUAAUACAUGCAAGUCGAACGAACACUUCGGUGUUAGUGGCGCACGGGUGCGUAACGCGUGGGAAUCUGCCCUUGGGUUCGGAAUAACAGUUGGAAACGACUGCUAAUACCGGAUGAUAUCGAAAGAUCAAAGAUUUAUCGCCCAGGGAUGAGCCCGCGUAGGAUUAGCUAGUUGGUGAGGUAAAGGCUCACCAAGGCGACGAUCCUUAGCUGGUCUGAGAGGAUGAUCAGCCACACUGGGACUGAGACACGGCCCAGACUCCUACGGGAGGCAGCAGUAGGGAAUAUUGGACAAUGGGCGCAAGCCUGAUCCAGCAAUGCCGCGUGAGUGAUGAAGGCCUUAGGGUUGUAAAGCUACUUUUACCCGAGAUGAUAAUGACAGUAUCGGAGAAUAAGCCCCGGACUAACUUCGUGCCAGCAGCCGAC